CCUACGGGAGGCAGCAGUGAGGAAUAUUGGUCAAUGGGCGGAAGCCUGAACCAGCCAAGUAGCGUGCAGGAUGACGGCCCUACGGGUUGUAAACUGCUUUUGCACGGGGAUAACACCCUCCACUUGUGGAGGUCUGCAGGUACCGUGCGAAUAAGGGCCGGCUAAUUCCGUGCCAGCAGCCGCGGUAAUACGGAAGGCCCGAGCGUUAUCCGGAUGCAUUGGGCUUAAAGGGAGCGUAGGCGGGCGUUCAAGUCAGCUGUAAAAUCGCGCGGCUCAACCGCGCCCCGCAGUUGAAACUGGACGCCUUGAGUUCACAACAGGCAGGCGGAAUUCGUGGUGUAGCGGUGAAAUGCAUAGAUAUCACGAGGAACCCCGAUUGCGAAGGCAGCCUGCCGGGGUGCGACUGACGCUGAGGCUCGAAGGUGCGGGUAUCAAACAGGAUUAGAUACCCGGGUAGUC
rnacentral:rRNA from 1 species